UCCUUCAGCAGUCAAGAAUAUUAGUCAAUGCUCGAAAGAGUGAACUAGCUAACUGAAAUCAAUUAUAAUAAUUGAUAACAUAAGGGAAAAUAAUGAUAUUACCUUAUUAUUAGUGUCGUCCAAAUCUGGUGCCAGAAGACUCGGUAAGGCCAGAGACACAAACGUUAAUCGUCUUAAUCAGGCGUAAAGGGUUUGUAGGCGGCUUUUAAACUUACUUAUUAAAAUAAAUUAAAUAAUUAAAUAAUUAAAUUAAAAAUAAGUACAAAAUAAAAGCUAGAAUCAAAUAGAGGAUAAAUUAAAUAAUGCUUAGAGUAGGUCUGAUAUCCUUAGAUACUAAGUAGAAUAUUAAAGGCGAAAGCUUUUUUUCCAUUAAUGAUUGACGCUCAGAAACGAAGGUGAGGAUAGGAAAUAGGAUUAGAUACCCAAAAUACCCCUCUCUGUCAACGAUGAAUGGUAGUUAUUAGUAAUAAAUUAUUAAUGGCAAUGUUAACACGAUAACCAUUCCGCCUUGUGAGUACGACUGCAAAGUUGAAAACAAAAAAAUUAGUCGGUUUCGGAGCAAACGAAGUGAAGCAUGUUAUUUAAUUCAAUAAAUCCGCAAAGGU
rnacentral:rRNA from 1 species